CAGCAUCAUUGAAGCCUUUCCCACACGGGAUGGAGUGAAGGUCUUAGUGGAUUCUGCUGAAGCCCCUCUGGGUGAACAACCACAGGUGUUGAGAGAUAUCGUGACCAUUCAAAGGAACGGAAUGGGAAUCACUCUGCAAGCCCCGUCCAUCAAUAUUGAAAGGCUGUACUUCAAUGGAGACCAAGUUCAGAUUGUCGUGGACCAGAUGAUGAGCAAGACGUGUGGAAUCUGUGGCCUUAACAACGAUGAGAAGAAAAUGAUGAUGCCCAGCCGGGAGGUCGCCGAGGACCA